UACAGAGGUGGCAAGCGUUGUUCGGAAUUACUGGGCGUAAAGGGCGCGUAGGCGGCCUUCUAAGUCAGACGUGAAAUCCCCCGGCUUAACCUGGGAACUGCGUCUGAUACUGGGAGGCUUGAGUAUGGGAGAGGGAUGUAGAAUUCCAGGUGUAGCGGUGAAAUGCGUAGAUAUCUGGAGGAACACCGGUGGCGAAGGCGGCAUCCUGGACCAAUAUUGACGCUGAGGAGCGAAAGCUAGGGGAGCAAACGGG
rnacentral:rRNA from 1 species